AUUAAUUCGAUGCAACGCGAAGAACCUUACCAAGGCUUGACAUACACCGGUAACGCCCAGAGAUGGGUGCCCCUUUGUGGUCGGUGGACAGGUGGUGCAUGGUUGUCGUCAGCUCGUGUCGUGAGAUGUUGGGUUAAGUCCCGCAACGAGCGCAACCCUCGUCCUAUGUUGCCAGCGGGUCAUGCCGGGGACUCAUGGGAGACUGCCGGGGUCAACUCGGAGGAAGGUGGGGAUGACGUCAAAUCAUCAUGCCCCUUAUGUCUUGGGCUUCACGCAUGCUACAAUGGCCGGUACAAAGGGCUGCGAUACCGCGAGGUGGAGCGAAUCCCAGAAAGCCGGUCUCAGUUCGGAUUGGGGUCUGCAACUCGACCCCAUGAAGUCGGAGUCGCUAGUAAUCGCAGAUCAGCAACGCUGCGGUGAAUACGUUCCCGGGCCUU
rnacentral:rRNA from 1 species